rnacentral:rRNA from 1 species
GACGAACGCUGGCGGCGUGCCUAACACAUGCAAGUCAACUUGACUGAAGGAGCAAUCUGACAGUAGAGUGGCGCAAGGGUGCGUAACGCGUAAGUAACUUGCCCAAGGUAAGGAAUAACGUCGAGAAAUCGGCGCUAAUACCUCAUAAUGCAGCGGAUCCGCAUGGAUAUGUUGUUAAAGGUUUACCGCCUUGGGAUAGGCUUGCGUCUGAUUAGCUAGUUGGUGUGGUAAACGGCACACCAAGGCUACGAUCAGUAACUGGUCUGAGAGGAUGAUCAGUCACACUGGAACUGAGACACGGUCCAGACUCCUACGGGAGGCAGCAGUGAGGAAUAUUGGGCAAUGCUCGAAAGAGUGACCCAGCAACGCCGCGUGGAGGAUGAAGGUAUUCUAUAUCGUAAACUCCUGUGAGAGCAGACGAAAGACAGAUUAUUAAUCUGGAUGACUGUAUGCUCAGAGGAAGCCCCGGCUAACUACG